rnacentral:snRNA from 1 species
AUACUUACCUGGCAGGGGAGACCCUGUGAUGACCAAGGCAGUUCUUCCAGGACGAGGCACACCCAUUGCACUCCGGGUGUGCUGACCCCUGUGAUUUCCCCAAAUGCGGGAAACUCGACUGCAUAAUUUAUGGUAGUGGGGGACUGCGUUUGCGUUUUUCCCUG